rnacentral:rRNA from 1 species
GACGGAGGGUGCUAGCGUUGUUCGGAAUCACUGGGCGUAAAGGGCGCGUAGGCGGCCUUGCAAGUCGGUUGGUGAAAGCCCGGGGCUCAACCCCGGAGGUGCGGCCGAGACUGCAGGGCUGGAGGCCGGAAGAGGAGGGUGGAAUACCCAGUGUAGAGGUGAAAUUCGUAGAUAUUGGGUGGAACACCGGUGGCGAAAGCGGCCUUCUGGACAGUGACUGACGCUGAGACGCGAAAGCGUGGGGAGCAAACAGG